rnacentral:rRNA from 1 species
GACGAACGCUGGCGGCGUGCUUAACACAUGCAAGUCGAACGAAGUGGCGAACGGGUGAGUAAUACGUGGGUAACCUGCCCUCCUUUUUGGGAUAAGCCUUGGAAACGGGGUCUAAUACCGAAUAAAGGGGGAGGGGCUCGCGGCCUAUCAGCUUGUUGGUGGGGUGAUGGCCUACCAAGGCGGUGACGGGUAGCCGGCCUGAGAGGGUGAACGGGCACAUUGGGACUGAGAUGCGGCCCAGAGUCCUACGCGGGGCAGCAGUGGGGGAUAUUGCACAAAGGGCGAAAGCCUGAUGCCGCGACGCCGCGUGGGGGAUGAAGGCUUUCAGGUUGUAAAACUCGUUAGCAAUCGAAGGGGUAGGUGGAGAAGAAGCGCCGGCUAACUACGUGCCAGCAGCCGCGGUAAUUC